rnacentral:misc_RNA from 1 species
GAUGAAGAACGUAGCGAAAUGCGAUAAGUAGUGUGAAUUGCAGAAUUCAGUGAAUCAUCGAAUCUUUGAACGCACAUUGCGCCCCUUGGUAUUCCAUGGGGCAUGCCUGUUCGAGCGUCAUUUGUACCUUCAAGCUCUGCUUGGUGUUGGGUGUUUGUCUCGCCUCUGCGCGCAGACUCGCCUCAAAACAAUUGGCAGCCGGCGUAUUGAUUUCGGAGCGCAGUACAUCUCGCGCUUUGCACUCAGAACGACGACGUCCAAAAGUACAUUUUUACACUCUUGACCUCGGAUCAGGUAGGGAUACCCGCUGAACUUAAGCAUAUCAAUAAGCGGAGGA